rnacentral:rRNA from 1 species
UACGAAGGGGGCUAGCGUUGCUCGGAAUCACUGGGCGUAAAGCGCACGUAGGCGGGCUCUUAAGUCGGUGGUGAAAUCCUGGAGCUCAACUCCAGAACUGCCUCCGAUACUGAGAGUCUUCGAGUCCGGGAGAGGUGAGUGGAACUGCGAGUGUAGAGGUGAAAUUCGUAGAUAUUCGCAAGAACACCAGUGGCGAAGGCGGCUCACUGGCCCGGUACUGACGCUGAGGUGCGAAAGCGUGGGGAGCAAACAGG